rnacentral:sRNA from 1 species
UGCAUCAUCGCAGGGAGACUUUGGAAAUUGCAGUCUCUCUCUCCAGAUGAAACUGAGAGAGCAUAAAAUGGAAAGCAGCAUGUUCACAUCGUUGUGAUGAACCCUCGUCGCGGAAUUUGAGUGGAAGAUUCCAUCUCUGGCGGAGAUAUGGGUCAUGUGCUGCGAGGGAUGAUGAAUGUGCCUCGAGGGGAUGUCGAAAGAAAACCAAGCGGGAACAAUAUGAUGUCAGAACCGAAAUGCCCAUGAAUGGAUGCACAAAUGGAGAACAGAUGCUGUUAGGAUCUUGAUUCUGUUUUUUUGAAAAUGGUGAAAUAAUUGGAGG